UUCAGUUUUUGAAGGCUGUCUGGUUAGUCAUAAACCUGACUGGGAUAACUGCCAGGUACUUCUGUGAACACUCCUCUCUGAAGUGGAGCGAAACCAGGUUUCAGCUAAGGCAUGGGCAGAAGCAGAAUGAAGAUAUGAGCAAAGUCUUGAUACUUAGAAGGAGGCCAGGGAGGAAUUACAGAAAAUUAUAGAUAAAUUCCUGCAGUGUGGGGUAUUACAGGAGUGUCACUCAGCUUGGAAUACCCCUAUCUCACCAGUCCAGAAACCGGACGGCAGUUAUCGAUUGGUGCAGGACUUAAGAGCAGUCAACGAGAGGGUUAAGACUCUAUACUCCCUCGUGCCCAACCCAUAUACGCUGCUAGCCUCUGUGGGGGGACAGUAUUCAUGUUUCUCAGUUCUUGAUUUAAAGGAUGCCUUUUUCACAAUUCUGGUGGACACAGGGUCCCAGGAAAUUUUCUCCUUUGAAUGGGAAGACGCAAACAGGAAUAAAAGGCAACUAUGUUGGACAGUGCUGGCACAAGGAUUUAAGAACUCCCCCACUCUUUUCUGUCAAGCUUUAUCCCGGGACUUGGAAGGAUGGGAAAAUGAGAACAAAGUCCUUCUCCUACAGUACGUUGAUGAUUUAUUAAUCGCAGCAGUGGGACUAGAAGUAUGUCUCCAGGCAACCAUACAUUAAGGACUCUCAGCCACUCCCUUUGGAUGCACCUGUGUAUUCCC